CCGGUGAGCGCUCGCUCAUCGGGUCCUGACACCGGUACCUGAUACGGCCGGUGCAG
rnacentral:ncRNA from 1 species